AAUUCUUACGGGAGGCACCAGUGUACUCCUACGGGAGGCAGCAGGCGCGCAAAUUACCCACUCCCGACUCGGGGAGGUAGUGACGAAAAAUAACAAUACAGGACUCUUUCGAGGCCCUGUAAUUGAAUGAGUCACUUAAACCUAACGAGACACUGGGC
rnacentral:rRNA from 1 species